rnacentral:misc_RNA from 1 species
UUUUUUUUUUUUUUUUUUUGAAAUAAAAAUUAAGAUCUUUUAUUCAAACUGUAUAUACAUGGAGUACACAAUUGAAAAUAGAAUAACAUCAAAUGGACAACCAUACUGGACAACCAUACUGGACUGUUAGGAGAAUCAAGUCCCCGGAUGAGCACAUUAUACAGUACACCAUUUUAAUCUCAGCACCAACACCUCCAUCCACCACACUCCACUUACGUACAUCCAUCCAACUAACCGCCUGCUGUUUGAAAAAUCAGCACCUACAAAACUGCUAGCUGCUUUUUCCAGAGUCAAAUUGAAGCAGCCAGUAGUAGUUGUUCACCUUCCAAAUAGGGAUUUUUAUUUAAAAAUUAUGCCAUGUACAUUCAACGGUUGGCACUGCUAUCCAACAAGCUCUUCAAGCUACACAAUGCCUCUGCAGAGAGGCUACAACACCUCGGUCUCUGUUGCCUAGGUGGUGAUGACUCCCUAUUGUCAAGGGGGGAGAAGCAGACAACAAUCACAGUCAGAU